UGCUGGUAGUGCUGGUGUCGGUGUAGCAGUAGGGGUUAACCUAACAUAUAUAGCCGACAAUUGUUCCGCCUCAGCCUCCUAUGUGUUGUGAUCGGGGUGCGUCACCAGGUGUCGAUGAGCCCCGUGUCUCGCAAGGCAAUCAGCAGUCUCCCUCUCUUCGCGAUUGCCGCAGGCCCUCCAGGGAAAAUGACGUCUGCAAAGGUUGAACCGCGGAGCUCAGUGAAGAAGCGAGGACUCGCAGUCUGGUGCUCAACAAACAACUGCAUCGAAUGAGCACGACGACAGAUGGUUCGACGCUGCAUUACGCACAAAAAAACACGUGCCACACGUGUUGACAUGCACCCAUCCCGCUGCAAACAGGGGUUUCAUUGGUUCCUUGCAUGACGGGUUGAAAUUGCACAGCCGACUUUGAAGCUACGAAAUGGUUGGCUGUGUAAGGAAAUGUUGUUUGUGUAAGGCCUGUUGUCUUCUUGUCUCGCGAAUAUUGACGGGGUAAUUUUAAUAAAGUGAAUCAGCUGUC